rnacentral:rRNA from 1 species
CAGUCGCCGCGGUAAUACGAAGGGUGCAAGCGUUAAUCGGAAUUACUGGGCGUAAAGCGUGCGUAGGCGGUGAGUUAAGUCUGCUGUGAAAUCCCCGGGCUCAACCUGGGAAUGGCAGUGGAUACUGGCUCGCUAGAGUGUGUCAGAGGGGGGUAGAAUUCCACGUGUAGCAGUGAAAUGCGUAGAUAUGUGGAGGAAUACCGAUGGCGAAGGCAGCCCCCUGGGAUAACACUGACGCUCAUGCACGAAAGCGUGGGGAGCAAACAGGAUUAGAUACCCCCGUAGUCCCUGUCUCUUAUAC